AUCCAGAUGACGAGUCCAAAAUAGGAUGAAAUUAGAGUCUUAGAU
rnacentral:hammerhead_ribozyme from 1 species